UUUAUAACUUGCAGGUAGAGGGGAAGGAGAAGGAGGAGCCCCAUUAGAUUGGGUGUGGUAGGCCAGGGUGCAUAAAUCAACCUUUUGGGAGAGGGAAAACAAAAAUCAAAAGCAACAAAUAUUAAAAAUUAGUAUGUUAGUGGCAUAAAAGAGUAAAUAAAAUAGGACACAAUAAGCACGUUGUUUGACGUUUCCUAUUUUGGGGGCCUCUUUUGUGCCAGAGGUAGGCCUAUCGAUGUUUGAGAGAUAAGUAUGCCAUAAAAUAAUGUCAUUUGCUCAUAAAUGAUAAACCCCAAAAAUUAAAACUUUACUAAACUAAAUCGUCUCAUAAAUUAAAAGAAAGAAAAAUACAAUGAAAUCAUAAGUAAAACUAAAAGUCUUUACUCAAUUUGUCAAAUUCAUGAAGUUGGGGGUACCAUUGAACCUGCAAAACAAAGUGUUAGCCUACACUACCCUAAAUAGCAAAUGAAAACACUUAGGCAUAUUUAUCUCUCAGAAUGCACAUAAGCAAUGAGACGUUCUUUUUCGAAUUUAUGAAAUCCCUUAGAACUUGGGGCAAAGCUUUCUAAACAAAACAUCCUAAGCUUUUGAGAUGCUUAUUCUAUAGUAAACGAAUAAACGAUUAAGAUCUAGGAAUAAGAGUUGUUGUAUAACAUGGUCCCCUCAAGCAGACAACUUAAGAGUGGGAAAGCUCAUGACUGUUGACGCACCGCUGAUCGAUCGAUUCACGAGGCAUUUUCAGUAGGGUGUUUUAGAAAAGAAUGCCUGUGCAACCACGCAAUCGUUCGUAAAAAAAAAAAGUAAAGGAGAUUUCAAGUGGAGAAAAAUAUGAACGAAAUGAUAGUUUAUGAAAAGCUGUAACACAGCAUAUGACAAAAAAUACAAUAGCAUAUUCAUCAACAUAAUAAAUAAAGAAAUGCUAAAAAAUAAGACAACAUAAGCCAAAUAUCAAGGAAAAAAGGAAAGGGCGAUAUAUAAAAACACAUAAAGGGAAACGACUAGGGACUAACAGAUAGAAAAAUAAAUCAUGAUAUUAAAACAACAAUAUUAUGAAAAAACACAAACAUCAACAAAUAAAAUUAGACAAAUAACAUAAUCCUGCAUAAAACACAAAUUCGUAAUGGUUAGAACCUAAGUAUCCGCAACAGAGUCACCCUGUUAUCGUGCCCCAUUUUUCUCACAAAAAGCAGAAUUCGAUAUGACAACUCUUUUUUUAGGAUAAUUAAAGAGUGAAGAGUCGCCACCUAAUGAAUUAAGGUGAGUUAGGACACCAUUCCAGGCUAAUUACAAAUCAGUUAAUUAGUCUACAUCAUCAGAAAUCGGGAAGGAUUUAGAUUACCUCGAAAGGAAGGUGUUAGACACCUUUUGAGGUCCACAAAUGUGGUUCCCAACCGAAAUAUUUACGUGGGGAUUCUAUGUGAUAAACAAAGGUCACUUAUUUUUAUGAACUUAAUAUCGCUAAGUGAUAACAUAAUAAAUAAACAAGACAUGCCACUUGGUUAUAUUUAAAUUACUAAUUAUCUAAGUGAUAUAACGAAUAAAACAUAGAAAUUAGAUAAGUAAGAAGACAUAAGAGACACAAUUUAUAUAACAAAAUUUAUUAAAUAAGCGAACCUAACCACCCCAAAUAAUUAAAAUAAUCAAAGUAAGUAAAUGAAUCCAAUGGUUGGACAAGGAUUUAUUAUUUAUUAUUCGGAUCAGGACCUGACUUAUUAAUGAGAGACACUGUCGUAUGUUGUAUUGUCGAAUCAUGCUCGGGUUAACUUCCAUCAUUUUCAUAUGUCUACCCACCCCACCUAGUUUGUUUAUUAAACUUAAAAGUGUUCUACAAGAAUGACAAAAACUAAUGUUUCCAUAAAAUGCCUACCCGUCUCAACUUAUUGUCUAAGAGGUACUGGACUUUCUACAUUAGAUUUAGGAUCUAGACAAAGAAAACUAGGAUUCCUAAUUAGACUCGAGACUCACGUCAAACAAAGCACAUUGGACUAGCACGUAGCAUAUAAUGGUUUCAAACAAGUCUCUUGGUUAAUUAAAGGUUGGUUACGCGAUUAACAUGCUUAAACAAUAUUUAUUCAUUUUUUUAUAGUUUAAGUCAAUAAGCGUGACGUCUAGGUGAUAGAUAGUUAUUUGCACCGCCAAUUCAAAAUGUCAAAACGUAAUAGACAUGUUGGGAAUUUAGAUAAGCGUGGUGCCAAUUGAUUCCAACAUGUGAAAAAUUAGUUAAACAUGUUAAGAAUUAAAAUUUAGUUGCUAGGAAUAUUAUUAAAGUGCUGAAAAAUAUAACUCAAAUACUGAAAGUUAAAAUCUAGUUGCUAAAAAAUAAAAUUUAAAUAUUCUGAAAAUUAAAUUAGAUGUUAUAAAAUAGGUUAAAUAUGUUGAAAUUUAAUUUAAAUACUAAAAAUGAACUAAAUGUGCUGAAAAGUAUAAUAAAGUGCUGGAAAGUAAAUUAAAGUGGUGAAAACUGAAUUUUAAUUGUUGAAAAUACUUAUUUAAAGCUGAAAGUUAACAUUUUACUGUUGAAAAAAUAUUAGCAUUUAACUGUUGGAAAGUUCAACUUGCUGAAAAUAUUAUGUAAGGCUAAAAAUUCAGUUUUAGUUGUUGUCACUGCUGAAAAUUAAUAAAACAUAACUGAAUUUAAAUUUAAUUGCUAAAAGGCUGGAUUUUGGAUGUGAAAAUUUAAUAAACCUGUUGGAGAUUUGUUAAUCACUGAAAAAUGAUUUUUCCACGUUGCUGGAAGUCAAUACAAACACGUUGAAAGUUUGUAUGAUUGCUUAAAGAAAGUAACUUUCAAAUUUUAUUGCUUAAAUAGACAUGUUGAGAUUAAAUUAGGCCAAAAGUUAAUUAGUAAUUCCUAAAACAUGGUUGAGAUUAAAUUAGGCCAAAAGUUAAUUAGUAAUUCCUAAAACAUGAUUUAGCAGUGAUAACAUAAGUUAUUAUUGAUCCUAAAUUAUUCUUUUACCCAGGUGAUUCAACAUAAUCACAUAAUCCCCCCUCCCCCCAUGAAUUUAUUAUUACACAGUAGCGGUUUAUACAAAAAUAAUUACAAAUCAAUGAAUAAUAGGAAAAAAAAAAAAUGGCUAAACUAAGGAAGAAAUAGGUCACCCUUCCCCAAACUCCCGGGCAAAUCUUUAUGUCCCAAAAUAUCUUUCAAUAAUAACUGUCAGAUAAAUAAGAUAGCAGAACAAGUAUCAAAGACAAAGUCAAACAUGACCGCAAAUACAGAAAUAAUGAAGCACAAACACUGAAUAUUUUCUAUAGGCAUGUUUUCUAACAUCAUAAAGUCAUCAGAUAAAUAUGAAAAUUAAAUCGAUAGAUACUUACCGAUAAGCAGCAAAGAAAUGAUAAAAGACCUUAAGAAACACAAUUGAGGUAAUAAACAGAACCGAAUGCCUUCUUUAAAAUUCAAAAAUACCAAAAAACUUAAAAAUAUUUCUUAACUUCUGUAUACAAAUAGCUAGUAACUCUUUUUAAGGGGUGAUAGCUGAGGAGAAGAUGUCCCCGAUAUGAAUGAAAUGGGUCUUUAUAUGGUGAGUAGCAGUAAGAAACUUAAAGAACGAAAUAUGUAAUAAUCAAUCAGUGGCAGUAGGAAAGGAAAACAAAAUAUUCUAAAAAUCAAUUAUUGAGUGAAUCAAUUAAUGAGGAGGAAAAUAUGCUAAAUUACCAUAAAUAUUCACACACAAUCUGUCAAAAUCAAAAAAGGUAAGAGAGAGCCCACAAGAUAUCUUUUAAAUAAUUUUUUAACAUAAAUAAGCACCAAAAAAGGCUAUUGUUUUAUUCAAAAUUUAAAUUGAGCAAAUUAACUAUACAUAUAUUCACAGUCACACACAAAACAUAUAUUUACCUUAAUUGUUCAAGAACCAAGGCUGUCAUAUAAAGAGAGAAAAUAAUCAAAGUGAAACCCACCUCCAACGCAUGACUUCAAUUUCAAUAAGGGGACCGAAUCAAUUAACAAUAACAGCUAGUUUGCCAACCAUAAGAAAUCCCACUCAGACGCACAUGAUAAAUAAUUAAUGAAUAUGCAAGCGCAUAUAGGUAAAAAUCAACAUCCAAUUCAACACUAGGGUCAGAAUCAAGCACAUGUAAAUUUGAGAAUUUUAACAAAUAUUGAUCUAGAUGAGUAGAUAAUCAUGUAUUUGAAGGAAUUGAACCAAAAUUCAAAUUCAGACAUUGCCAAUUUUGAAUCUAAGAAUCUUUCUAAGAAAGAAAAGGAGUAGAGAAAGAUUUAGGCAAAACUUAAAAUGGAAACAAACCUGAGACGGAUUCACAUCUGUGAAUUUGCCAUGCACUUUAAAUGAUUUUCCAGUGAAUUUUACUCGGGAUCAAGGGUCGCGGAGAGAUAAUGGCGGUGUGAGGGAUAUGGUUAAUCACCGUCGACUCACUGAUGGUGUCCUGGUGAAACACGAAGGAGCAGCGGCAGCAGGGUGAACUAAUUCGCGAUGCUAGUUCAACUAUUUUUGCCGAUUGGAGUGAGGUUUUUACCGCAGGAAAGGGAGAGACGAAAUGUAGGUCGGCCGGUGAUCGGCCUAGCAGCGGCAGAUCGAUAAUGCUGGGGAGAGGGGAAUAACUGCUAGUUUACGAAGGAGAGAAAGAAAAAAGAAUUGGUCACGGCCAUGACCGCCGAUUGCAUGAGGGAGAAGAGCGAUGGAGCAGCGACAACAGCCGUCCACCAACGGUGACAUCAUCGAGUUUUAAAGAGAGAAAGAGAGAGGAGAGAAAAACUGUGAGGUGGUGUGCAACUGCUUUGAGGGGAAUAGGGAUUAGGGUUUAGGGUUAGGUUUUAUUUUUAAAAAGAAGAAAAA
rnacentral:lncRNA from 1 species